AGAUGCUGUCUUAAGAACAGCAGGUUGUUGUGUGCUUUCUGUUCCAUCUACUCCCCAGUGCCUCAUUUUGAAAACCCUCUCAUAGCAAGAGUCUUUUUAUAAACCUCUUACCCAUUCAGCAGAAUUAGAUGAUGAGUUUGCCUCAGCUGCUUCCCUGGUGGAUUCAUUUCUCCCGUGAAGCUCUUCCACCUCAAUUCUCUGCUCCUGCUCUUGCCUUUCUGUCAGCACAGGAAUCUGUGCAGCACCUGAUAAAAGCCAAGCUCCAGUCAGUGCUUGCUUGCUGUCCAUGGCCAGAGUCACACCUGCCCUCUACCAGAGCUCGGUAAGCUCUGAAAUGGAGAGUGCAGAGCUCUUGUACAGAUAGGCUUGAUGACAGGCACUAGAGUGGCCAUCAGGCUGCAAAUGAAAUAAGCUGAAAACUACCCCAAAGGGUUACUUAAGAGGCUGCCUUAGAUUAUCUCGCUGAUCUGAGCCCUCUGCUCACAGCUGCCCUGCAUUUUUAUUUGUCCUGCACCCUUGUCAUUCACCAUUAUUUUCCUAUGAUUUCUUCUACCCUUAAACUUCUAGAUUUUGAAAAAAAAACCCUAAACCAAACAACAAAAAAAAAAACCCCAAAUGAACAAACAAAACUUCCCACCAAAACCCCCUACCAACCCAAAUUAAUAGUUAACGAAAAAGAAAUCACAGCUUGAAAAAACAGAACUCCGUGUUCAAGGCUGAGUUUUUCACAUGUCAGUUCCAGUUGUUUCUACCAGGAGUAAGAGUCUAUGUGGCAGAGCUAAGUUCUGUCUCCUCAGUUUUUCAGUCAGAAAUUAGCAAGAAAUUAUUAGAACUGAUCCCCUUUGAAUUCCCUAGCCAGGUCAAGAUCUUCAGUUUAAGUGAUGACUCUCCUUAAAAGGAUGGACACUGCAAGAACACUCGCCUGAACUACAAGCUGUGCCUCUGAUCGCUCCUCAGCUCAGCAUGCCCCAGCAGACCAGGACCAGCUGACACACAGUAUAAAAUACUGUACAAAACUGGAGUGUACUGCAUGAUUGGAAAGGCUUCCUGUGACUGGACCAGUCAGCAGGUGAGUGAUGAUUGAUAGUGCUAAAGGUCUAAUCACAGCUAGUCCCCCAGUCUUUGUCUGCGUUUGAGAGGUAUAAAAAGAGCUGAAGAUCAGCAUCUUCCAGAACUGGUGCAUAAUGUCUUCAGUUAGUUGUAGGAAGUAAAUUGUCUUCUGGAUGUCUUACAUUAUAUUAAUAAUUUAAGGUUAAAUGGAUGUCACUCCUAUUGCUGAAAAUUUUAAUUGUGUGGGAAUACUAAUUGCAUUCAUGAUUUUCAAUGCUUAACUUAGAAUUGGGAUCUUAAAUUGCUCCCCUGUAGAAAUUAGAAUAUGACUGGUAAAAAACCAGGGAGACACAGCACAUAUAAAACAGUUGGCUACAACUUUAUGGACACAAAUCCAUAUAGGGCCCAUACUGCUCUAUCAUCCAUAUUGAUUUAUUUCUCCCUUUUCAUUAAGAACUUGUAAUAAAAAAAUAAAAUGGUUAGUAAAGGUUACAGAUUACUGAGCAGAGUAACCAUGUGAUCACUGCAGCCCCCUGUAACCACACAGCAGAUUCACUCAGGGUCUUGCAUCUAUCCUCCUCCUCCUCUGAGGAGAAACUGUGGUUGGGUCUUGUGUGAAACAGAAGCUCAUGCACAGCAUUUUUGUAAACCUUAGGUAAUAAUUCCUAUCAGCAAAUCCUUAUGGAGGAAAACAAACACUACAGAGGUGAUAUUAAGGCAGAGAGUUUAAGUCAAUCGUCAUUAAAAGUUGUUCAGACCCUCUUUGUAUUUGUGUCUUUCACCCAGAGAUCCAAGUGUUGAGGAAGGCAGGUGGGAGGGGCAGGAAACGCAUAACAUAGUUCAAAUUGAAAAAUCUUUCUGAUGACAAGUGAAAUGUCACACAUAUGUUCUUGCUAGCCUACCUUUCUCUUCAACAAUCACUGUUGUCCCAUUUCCACGUAGUUUCUUAAAGCAAGGUAUUUCAAUAAUUAUCUCACAGUAGUAAAAUCCAGUGUCAUUUACAUUGGCAGAUUUGAUGACUAGCACAUCCUUGUUUUCACGGGUGAUGUUGGAUGAAUAGAAAAGUUUUGACGAUAUAGUUUUACUGAUGUUCACUUUAUUAACAAAAUACCAGUGUACUCUACACCUCUCAAUAGCUUUUUCCCAAAUACAAGUGAUUUCAGUAUUGUCUCCAACUAACAGAUUUAUAUUUGUUGGUGUUUGGAUGACUCUUGAAUUAUUGGAACCUGUAGCUAUGGAGAAAUACACACAGAUUUAAAAGGUAAAGCAACAAAGAAAUGUAAUGAAAUCUGUAUUUAAAAUAAAUAAUUUAACAUUAAAGAAGAGUUUAAAUAUUAAAAUAAGCAUUUAAAAUAACAAUUAAUGCUGCAAAAUCAUUACAACAAUAAUUUUCAAGCUUACUCCUCACUUUUUCCUUAAAUGAUGGCAAUUGUUUUCUGGCUAAAGUAAACUUUUAAUCUGAUGUGUUAAAGUCCUCAAACAUUGUUUGUGUGAAAUAAACAAAUAUUUUCUGCAUUUUUAUUUUCAAGAAAAAGCUUUAUAAAAAGAGAUUGAGUUUGAAGUAUAUUAAACACUCUCUGCCGGAUAAAGAAGGAACAAAAGGAGUAAUUCAGAAUGAUUCAUUACUCAAUAGUGAAAAGCUCAUCAAGUUUGAAGAAAAAGACACUGCAAAUUUUGUCCCCAUGUAGGAGUUCUUGUCCAGCACUACUUCUAAUGAAUGACAAGUGUACAGCAUUUGAGAGGUGAGUUUUUUCACUUGGUUUCAACUUCUUCUAUGAAGUACUUGCUGACAAGCAGUUUACAACAUCAAAUUCACCUCCUUCAUUUAAUAAGAGGUUAAAUGUUCUGUUACCCUGUUCUUUCAUCAGGUCUCUUGUCUGGCUUUUAAGAAAAGACUGACUUGGACAGUAUCAGUAGAAAUCAAACUUUUUGUUUCUUCCUGCUUUCAGAACAUUUUUCUUUCACUGCCAACAUGCAAAGUGAGUGAUACAUGAGACAUUGUGCAAUAUAUGUACAAAGCAUUUUCUUCUAAAGGGAAAACACUAUGUGGGUAUCAGAUAACUCUUUUUACAUUCUAAUGGCAUUGAUGCUCAUUACAAAAUUGCUAAUACUAUAAAAUCUAUUUCCAUGACUGCUGAGACAAUUAUUUUCAUCUGCUAUAUGAAGAAUUGUAAUUCCUUUUUUCUAUCCUUUACAACAUUAAAGGGAAGAACUAAUAAUAAGAGUAAAUGGCAUGAUUUUCUUCUAAAUUUUAUUCUGUUUAUCACUCAGGCACAUUUCACAGCAAGACACACUAAUUAGACAAUUUUUUUCAUAUCUCACACUAAAAUGGCAUCUGAUCGGUUUUAUCAAAAUAUGCAAAUCAAUUUUUCUGUUUUUUCAAUAGAAAAAGCCACACAUUCAUCACAAGUAAAGGAGUCAGGCACCUCCAUCUUUACAAUGCAACACUUAAAAACUUGUAGAAAAGAAUAUGGACAGUAUAGGGAUAAUAUAAGCAGCAGAAAAAAUAAGGGAAAUAAAUGAUGCAGUGUAUAAAUGACAACCUAAUAGAACAGCUAGAACAGCUUCUAAGUUGUUCAAGUUAAAGAAAUAAUCACCAAUUUCAGGUUAUCUGUUCAUUUGAUUUGUUGUUUAAAACAGUUGUGCCAUUGACUGUGCUAUAUUUCCAUCUUUACUGCUUUUCUGAAAAAUAUCACUGAAAAUUUUUUUUGCUAAUUUUUAAACUCAUAUGGAAUACCUUCAGCAUUAUCCACUGUGAUUUGUAUUGAAUAAGAAUCAUGAAUUCUUUCUGCUUUGUACUUCAGUACCUAUGUGAUCUAGAAUAAAUUAUCCUUAACAUUUUAAAAUUCUACAUUCAGCAUUUUUCAUAAAAAAUAUUCAAGUCAGAAAUCCUAAAAAGAUGGUGCAUACAUUAACCUAACAUCAUUUUGGGUGUUGAAGUGUUUAAUUUAUUCCUCAAUGCUUUCCCUGAAACAAUUUCUUUGUGAAAAUACUUUUUGAUUUCUCAUGCUAUUUAAUCUUGCUUUCAGCAUUAUGAAAAGACAGUAAAUAUUCUCCUUGUCUCACAUGUGUAUUUGAGGUGGAUAUACCAUAAGUUGGUUUUUUUUAAAUCCAGCUCAAGAAUUACACACAAUUAACUAAAACCAAAACAACUACAACAAAAAAAAAAAAACACCCAACACUUACCUAAGCAGCCAAAACACACUGUUAAAAGAAGUUUCAUUGGAAGUAUAAUCAUCAUGCAGAAUUAUUAGCAUUUGCAUCAGGCUGCCUUGGUUGAAGAUCAGCAAAACACCAAAUGAAAGCGUGUCAACUUUGCGGCUUAACUUCCUCUCCCCUCAUGUGGUGACGAUGAUAGAACCUAAAUGCAGCCAAAUUUUUUCCCUACAUUCUGCGAAACUGCUGUUUCAGAACUCAGCCAUUCUACUUGAAAUCAAAUAAUUUCUUCUUUAACAUUUAAACUGUGUUGUAACUGGUUGCUGUUCAGCCUAGAUUAGUCUCUCUUCUUGUAUGACCUAAAGAAGAACUGGUUUUCCAUAUGGAGUUUCAUGACAGCUUUUGCCAUUGUCCUUCUAAAAUCCUUCAUUUAAAAGCACUUUACAAAGGUGAGGUUUCUUCAGCUGCUGUGCACGUGCUUGUCAGCAGCCUCUUCCAGCCAACCAGAUGAAUCUUAUCCGAAGUGAGAGACAAUGAUUGCACAGGGGUUACACCAAAGUCAAGUAUUGCUCCUAUCUUUUUUUAUCAUACAUUUCAUUGCCUCCUUGCUGAAAUGUUGCCUGAAUUCUUCCCUCCUGUGAGAAAUACUUUUGUACUUUUGCCUUAACAGCAGCAGAACUCUUGUGGCAGGAGCAGUAGGGGAAGGCUGAGUUCCACGAUCACACUCAAAGUGGCCCCAGCAUCCUGCAGCACCAGUGGGGACCUUACACUGUGCAUGCAAUGCAUCAGCCAUCACCUCUAUGGGUGCAGCUGCAUUAAUGCAAUACCAGUGCCAUGUACAUUAACUAAAGCUCAUUUCAGGAAGAUUAUAAACAUGGGUUAAAAGAAAAUGACCUACGCUUACAUCAUCAAGGUAAAGCUUACUUGUUAUCAAUUAUUAAAACAUGUUCUGCAAAUGUGGGUAACUGUAUGCUGCUUAAUAUUCUCCAGCACUGAUUUUUGCUCCAACCCAGAAACACAUAUAUGGCCUGGCCAGAGACAUUCCCUAGAAGACAAAAAAUUGCAUUUGUUUCUUAACUUAUCCAUUUUAUUCCAUGUUUCAAAUGUAGUUGCUUGGCCAGAAAAAAAUUGUCCCAAAAACAUGUUCAGUUGGAUAAUGUCAAAAUUGCAAUGACAGGAAAAAAAAAAGAGAAAAAAAAAU
rnacentral:lncRNA from 1 species